rnacentral:tRNA from 1 species
GCGGGUGGUCAAGUGGCGUACGUCUGGCCUUCCAAGCCGGAACAGGCGAGUUCAAAUCUCGUCGCCCGCUCCA